rnacentral:rRNA from 1 species
ACUCCUACGGGAGGCAGCAGUAGGGAAUCUUCCACAAUGGGCGCAAGCCUGAUGGAGCAACACCGCGUGAGUGAAGAAGGGUUUCGGCUCGUAAAGCUCUGUUGUUAAAGAAGAACACGUAUGAGAGUAACUGUUCAUACGUUGACGGUAUUUAACCAGAAAGUCACGGCUAACUACGUGCCAGCAGCCGCGGUAAUACGUAGGUGGCAAGCGUUAUCCGGAUUUAUUGGGCGUAAAGAGAGUGCAGGCGGUUUUCUAAGUCUGAUGUGAAAGCCUUCGGCUUAACCGGAGAAGUGCAUCGGAAACUGGAUAACUUGAGUGCAGAAGAGGGUAGUGGAACUCCAUGUGUAGCGGUGGAAUGCGUAGAUAUAUGGAAGAACACCAGUGGCGAAGGCGGCUACCUGGUCUGCAACGUACGACGCUGAGACUCGAAAGCAUGGGUAGCGAACAGGAUUAGAUACCCUGGUAGGAUAGCG